UCGGGAAUAUUGCGCAAUGGAGGAAACUCUGACGCAGUGACGCCGCGUGCAGGAAGAAGGUUUUCGGAUUGUAAACUGCUUUAGACAGGGAAGAAAAAAUGACAGUACCUGUAGAAUAAGCUCCGGCUAACUACGUGCCAGCAGCCGCGGUAAUACGUAGGGAGCAAGCGUUAUCCGGAUUUAUUGGGUGUAAAGGGUGCGUAGACGGGAAAACCAAGUUAGUUGUGAAAUCCCUCGGCUUAACUGAGGAACUGCAACUAAAACCUAUUUUUUACUUGAGUGCUGGAGAGGAAAGUGGAAUUCCUAGUGUAGCGGUGAAAUGCGUAGAUAUUAGGAGGAACACCAGUGGCGAAGGCGACUUUCUGGACAGUAACUGACGUUGAGGCACGAAAGUGUGGGGAGCAAACAGGAUUAGAUACC
rnacentral:rRNA from 1 species